rnacentral:rRNA from 1 species
AGCGUACACGGUGGAUGCCCUGGCAGUCAGAGGCGAUGAAGGACGUGCUAAUCUGCGAAAAGCGCCGGCGAGGUGAUAUGAACCCUUGACCCGGCGAUGUCCGAAUGGGGAAACCCAGUGCAAUCCGUUGCACUAUCGUUAACUGAAUACAUAGGUUAACGAGGCGAACCGGGGGAACUGAAACAUCUAAGUACCCCGAGGAAAAGAAAUCAACCGAGAUUCCCCCAGUAGCGGCGAGCGAACGGGGAGCAGCCCGGAGUCUGAAUCAGCUUGUGUGUUAGUGGAACGGUCUGGAAAGUCCGACGGUACAGGGUGAUAGUCCCGUACACGAAAGCACACUUGCUGUGAACUCGAAGAGUAGGGCGGGACACGUGGUAUCCUGUCUGAAUAUGGGGGGACCAUCCUCCAAGGCUAAAUACUCCUGACUGACCGAUAGUGAACCAGUACCGUGAGGGAAAGGCGAAAAGAACCCCGGCGAGGGGAGUGAAAAAGAACCUGAAACCGUGUACGUACAAGCAGUGGGAGCCUCUUUAUGGGGUGACUGCGUACCUUUUGUAUAAUGGGUCAGCGACUUAUAUUCUGUAGCAAGGUUAACCGUAUAGGGGAGCCGAAGGGAAACCGAGUCUUAACUGGGCGUUAAGUUGCAGGGUAUAGACCCGAAACCCGGUGAUCUAGCCAUGGGCAGGUUGAAGGUUGGGUAACACUAACUGGAGGACCGAACCGACUAAUGUUGAAAAAUUAGCGGAUGACCUGUGGCUGGGGGUGAAAGGCCAAUCAAACCGGGAGAUAGCUGGUUCUCCCCGAAAGCUAUUUAGGUAGCGCCUCGUGAACUCAUCUUCGGGGGUAGAGCACUGUUUCGGCUAGGGGGCCAUCCCGGCUUACCAACCCGAUGCAAACUACGAAUACCGAAGAAUGUUAUCACGGGAGACACACGGCGGGUGCUAACGUCCGUCGUGAAGAGGGAAACAACCCAGACCGCCAGCUAAGGUCCCAAAGUCAUGGUUAAGUGGGAAACGAUGUGGGAAGGCACAGACAGCCAGGAUGUUGGCUUAGAAGCAGCCAUCAUUUAAAGAAAGCGUAAUAGCUCACUGGUCGAGUCGGCCUGCGCGGAAGAUGUAACGGGGCUAAACCAUGCACCGAAGCUGCGGCAGCGACACUAUGUGUUGUUGGGUAGGGGAGCGUUCUGUAAGCCGUUGAAGGUGUGCUGUGAGGCAUGCUGGAGGUAUCAGAAGUGCGAAUGCUGACAUAAGUAACGAUAAAGCGGGUGAAAAGCCCGCUCGCCGGAAGACCAAGGGUUCCUGUCCAACGUUAAUCGGGGCAGGGUGAGUCGACCCCUAAGGCGAGGCCGAAAGGCGUAGUCGAUGGGAAACAGGUUAAUAUUCCUGUACUUGGUGUUACUGCGAAGGGGGGACGGAGAAGGCUAUGUCAGCCGGGCGACGGUUGUCCCGGUUUAAGCAUGUAGGCGGAGGUUCCAGGUAAAUCCGGUACCUUAUUAACGCUGAGGUGUGAUGACGAGGCACUACGGUGCUGAAGUGAUAAAUGCCCUGCUUCCAGGAAAAGCCUCUAAGCAUCAGGUAACACGAAAUCGUACCCCAAACCGACACAGGUGGUCAGGUAGAGAAUACCAAGGCGCUUGAGAGAACUCGGGUGAAGGAACUAGGCAAAAUGGUGCCGUAACUUCGGGAGAAGGCACGCUGAUGUGUAGGUGAAGCCCCUGCGGGUGGAGCUGAAAUCAGUCGAAGAUACCAGCUGGCUGCAACUGUUUAUUAAAAACACAGCACUGUGCAAACACGAAAGUGGACGUAUACGGUGUGACGCCUGCCCGGUGCCGGAAGGUUAAUUGAUGGGGUUAGCGGCAACGCGAAGCUCUUGAUCGAAGCCCCGGUAAACGGCGGCCGUAACUAUAACGGUCCUAAGGUAGCGAAAUUCCUUGUCGGGUAAGUUCCGACCUGCACGAAUGGCGUAAUGAUGGCCAGGCUGUCUCCACCCGAGACUCAGUGAAAUUGAACUCGCUGUGAAGAUGCAGUGUACCCGCGGCAAGACGGAAAGACCCCGUGAACCUUUACUAUAGCUUGACACUGAACACUGGUCCUUGAUGUGUAGGAUAGGUGGGAGGCUUUGAAGCGUGGACGCCAGUCUGCGUGGAGCCNGACCCGUAAUCCGGGUUGCGGACAGUGUCUGGUGGGUAGUUUGACUGGGGCGGUCUCCUCCCAAAGAGUAACGGAGGAGCACGAAGGUUGGCUAAUCCUGGUCGGACAUCAGGAGGUUAGUGCAAUGGCAUAAGCCAGCUUGACUGCGAGCGUGACGGCGCGAGCAGGUGCGAAAGCAGGUCAUAGUGAUCCGGUGGUUCUGAAUGGAAGGGCCAUCGCUCAACGGAUAAAAGGUACUCCGGGGAUAACAGGCUGAUACCGCCCAAGAGUUCAUAUCGACGGCGGUGUUUGGCACCUCGAUGUCGGCUCAUCACAUCCUGGGGCUGAAGUAGGUCCCAAGGGUAUGGCUGUUCGCCAUUUAAAGUGGUACGCGAGCUGGGUUUAGAACGUCGUGAGACAGUUCGGUCCCUAUCUGCCGUGGGCGCUGGAGAAUUGAGGGGGGCUGCUCCUAGUACGAGAGGACCGGAGUGGACGCAUCACUGGUGUUCGGGUUGUCAUG